CGAUGCGGGAUGAACCGGACGUUGAGUUACGGUGCCCAAGUACUCGCUCAUCUAGAUCCCUUAAAAGGUGUUGAUGCAUCCGGACAGCAGGACGGUGGUCAUGGAAGUCGAAACCCGCUAAGGAGUGUGUAACAACUCACCUGCCGAAUGCAUUAGCCCUGAAAAUGGAUGGCGCUGAAGCGAGUCACCUAAACUCAACCAUCAGUGUAAAUGCUAAGCAUUGAUGAGUAGGAGGGCGUGGAGUUUGUGACGAAGUCUAGGACGCGAGUCCGGAUGAAACAGACUCUAGUGCAGAUCUUGGUGGUAGUAGCAAAUAUUCAAGUGAGACUCUUGAAGACUGAAGUGGAGAAAGGUUCCAUGUGAACAGCAAUUGGACAUGGGUUAGUCGGUCCUAAACGAUAGGGAAACUCCGUGUUAAUGUGAGUCAUUCUUGACUCCGACUAUUGAAAGGGAAGAAGAUUAAUAUUUCUUCACCAGGACGUGGAUAUUGUAUGGCAACAUGUGAGAACUCGUCGACGUCGGCACGUAGCCCGGGAAGAGUUGUCUUUUCUUUUUAACAAUGGAUGACCCUGGAAUCAGAUCAACUGGAGAUAGGGUUUGUACGUUGGGAAAGCACUGAAACGUCUCAGUGUCCGGUGCCUACGUGACGGACCUUGAAAAGGCGAGGGACAGAUUUAUUCGCACCCCUGGCCGUACUCAUAACCGCAUCAGGUCUCCAAGGUU
rnacentral:rRNA from 13 species